CCUACGGGUGACUGCAGUGGGGAAUAUUGCGCAAUGGGCGAAAGCCUGACGCAGCGACGCCGCGUGAGGGAUGAAGGUCUUCGGAUCGUAAACCUCUGUCAGCAGGGAAGAACGGUCACUGUGCUAAUCAGCAGUGAAUUGACGUUACCUGCAAAGGAAGCACAGGCUAACUCCGUGCCAGCAGCCUCGGUAAUACGGAGGGUUCGAGCGUUAAUCGGAAUUACUGGGCGUAAAGCGCUCGUAGGCGGUAUGUCAAGUCAAGGGUGAAAUCCCCGCGCUCAACGUGGGAACUGCCUUUGAAACUGGCAGACUGGAGUGUGUGAGAGGAUAGUGGAAUUCCAGGUGUAGGAGUGAAAUCCGUAGAUAUCUGGAGGAACAUCAGUGGCGAAGGCGACUAUCUGGCACAUAACUGACGCUGAGGAGCGAAAGCGUGGGUAGCAAACAGGAUUAGAUACCCUAGUAGUC
rnacentral:rRNA from 1 species